rnacentral:rRNA from 1 species
UACGAAGGGGCUAGCGUUGUUCGGAAUUACUGGGCGUAAAGGGCGCGUAGGCGGUCUGAUUAGUCAGAUGUGAAAUUCCCGGGCUUAACCUGGGCGCUGCAUUUGAUACUGUCGAGGCUUGGAAUUCAGGAGAGGGAUAGCGGAAUUCCCGAGUGUAGAGGUGAAAUUCGUAGAUAUUGGGAAGAACACCGGUGGCGAAGGCGGCUACUCUGGACUGACAUUGACGCUGGAGGCGACGAAAGCGUGGGGAGCAAACAGG